ACAAGUACGCCGGCUUCGCGCGCUCCCCAGCGGCCCGCGGGAGGCGACGGACGGCGGGACAGACGGACGGACGGACGGACGGCAGCUUACCGGGGCCGAGGGCCAAACCCGCGAAGCGCGCGGGCUCCGACGGGCAAGCGGCGGACGGGGGCUCCGGCGAGCCCUCGGGGCCCGGGCGCCCUCUCCACUCCGGGGCGCACGGCCUCACCCCGCACACCCCCGGCACCCGCCCGGCAUGCAGCGGGCCCAGGACUGAGGGGCGGAGGCGUCUGCUCUCCGGGUCCCGCUCGGCCCCUGCCCGGCGCUCCCGGCGGUGCUCCCGGCGUCCGGCGGGCUUCCCGGCGGCGGCGCGGCGCGGGGACUUUUCGCCUCUCGCUGGCCUCUACCGAGCGCGUCUAUGAGCGCAGCGUUCCCGCCGUCGCUGAUGAUGAUGCAGCGCCCGCUGGGGAGUAGCACCGCCUUCAGCAUAGACUCGCUGAUCGGCAGCCCGCCGCAGCCCAGCCCCGGCCAUUUCGUCUACACCGGCUACCCCAUGUUCAUGCCCUACCGGCCGGUAGUGCUGCCGCCGCCGCCGCCGCCGCCGCCCGCGCUGCCCCAGGCCGCGCUGCAGCCAGCGCUGCCGCCCGCACACCCUCACCACCAGAUCCCCAGCCUGCCCACAGGCUUCUGCUCCAGCCUGGCGCAGGGCAUGGCGCUCACCUCUACGCUCAUGGCCACGCUCCCCGGCGGCUUCUCCGCGUCGCCCCAGCACCAGGAGGCGGCAGCGGCCCGCAAGUUCGCGCCGCAGCCGCUGCCCGGCGGCGGUAACUUCGACAAGGCGGAGGCGCUGCAGGCUGACGCGGAGGACGGCAAAGGCUUCCUGGCCAAAGAGGGCUCGCUGCUCGCCUUCUCCGCGGCCGAGGCGGUGCAGGCUUCGCUCGUCGGGGCUGUCCGAGGGCAAGGGAAAGACGAGUCAAAGGUGGAAGACGACCCGAAGGGCAAGGAGGAAAGCUUCUCGCUGGAGAGCGAUGUGGACUACAGCUCGGAUGACAAUCUGACUGGCCAGGCAGCUCACAAGGAGGAAGACCCGGGCCACGCGCUGGAGGAGACCCCGCCGAGCAGCGGCGCCGCGGGCAGCACCACGUCUACGGGCAAGAACCGGCGGCGGCGGACUGCCUUCACCAGCGAGCAGCUGCUGGAGCUAGAGAAGGAGUUCCACUGCAAAAAGUACCUCUCCUUGACCGAGCGCUCGCAGAUCGCCCACGCCCUCAAACUCAGCGAGGUGCAGGUGAAAAUCUGGUUCCAGAACCGACGGGCCAAGUGGAAACGGGUGAAGGCAGGCAAUGCCAAUUCCAAGACAGGGGAGCCCUCCAGGAACCCUAAGAUCGUCGUCCCCAUCCCUGUCCACGUCAGCAGGUUCGCUAUCAGAAGUCAGCAUCAGCAGCUAGAACAGGCCCGGCCCUGAGGGUCCAGAAGGGCCAGGGCCUGGCACCCACCUGGAGAAGCCCCCGCACCCGAGGGAACCCAUGGUGGACUCCACUGUGUUUGAAGCAACAAAGUCACAGCCCAACUGUGGCCAUCCCAAGCAAAUUGAGAAUAUAUUCACUAAAUGGGCUUAAAAGACUGCUUUUGAAGGGGCUUACAGCCACACCAGAAGACACGCUAAAUAUUUAUUAUACUAUCCUACUUUGUACAUAAAUAUCUCUAUAGACUGGAUCUCAGCUGCAGUAUUUUGAAAGUUAUAGGACUUAAUUACCCAGUAAUUUCUCCACUCAUUCCAGAAGAAAACAAAACCUCUGCUGUAAUCUGCGCGGUUAGCAGCCACCUUUCCAUACUUUUCCAAAGGCCGUCACCUCCCCACGGCGGAGGGGCCUGGGGACCAAGACCUCCACCCAAACUUCAGGCGCAGGGUGAAGGCUGGGAGCGACCGAGUCACCCUUUCCCGCCGCGUUCCCAACAGUUCCGGUGGCGGAAAAUGGCCCAGACUUGGUUUUCGAGCCCAAUAAAAUAGAAGGGCCAGCCCUCCGAGGGCGUCGGCCGGCUCUGCGGGGCGCCGAGAGCCGCAGAGGCUCCUGGCCGCGCCCCGCCCAGCGCCAUGAAGCCUGGCAGGGAGGGGAUGGCGCCCGGGUCGCGCCCUGGCCUGGCGCGGGGGCCGCAAGGCCCGGAUCCCGCCCGCCAGGAAGCGCUGAGCGCAGGUUGCCGGUGAGCGCCUUCUGCUCGGGGCAGGUACCCACUGGCCACACGACGCUGCUGCAGCAUUCGAGGCCCGCGGGGACGCCGUCCCCCGACCCACACACCUGAGCCAGUCUGCGCGUGGCUGGGGGCGAAGAGUUUACCCGGGAAGGUUGGGGAGCUGCGGCCUCUGCCCCGCCGGCACUGCGGGUCGGGGGAAGAGACCCUGGCACUCCCCGCAGAUCCUGGAGUGCCCCCCAUAUCCCCUUCCACCAUAACAGGUGUAACCCCACCCGCCUUCUCCAAAAGCCCAUGGCAGGGAUGAGGGGCAGAGGGACCCGAAGCUUUGAGCGCACGGAACCGGAGGCCGCCGUCAGGAAGCCCCGCUCCUGGGACCGAGCUCCGGGCCCUCCCAGCCUCGAGGUCCUCGCCCUAUGGAGGCACGAGGAGGAGAGGGCCCGAGCUCCCCAAGGUGGCCGAUGCCGCCCUCCCUCCUGCUCCUCGGGGCGCUGACCCCCUCCCUCCCUAACCCCUGAGCCCCGGGGCGCCCCCGAGAGCCCGGCAGGGAGGCCAAGGCCCGGGAGACAGGCCGAGGGGAGGAAGAUAAACAAGCAGCGCUUGAUGGCCGCUGUCAUCAUGGCCGUCAUCAUGGCUUUCAUUUGGCUGCCUAAUGAGUCACAUCACAGGCAGAGAGAAAAAUUGUCAAUCGCCCGGGCCCUAAUGAAUUUUUUUGCAAAUUGUAAUCAAGCCAGGCCGUCUCAGCUGGCUGAUUAAUGAGACCCACGAGGCUCGGCCAGCACCUCAGCUUUUUAUUCCAUCCCGUCCUCCCUGCACUAAAUUAACAGCAACUUGUCUGAGCUUCAAAUUAACUCCCAAUGAUUAAUUCUGAUGGGGGGGCCUGAAGAAUAGCUUGUUCUAAUAGGCUCUGGCCUGAGAUGCUGUUGGAAAUUAAUACACUUCCCCUUUGGCUGCCGGCUUUAAUCCAAGGUUGGGUUUUGACAUCACUAUAUUUGUUGUUACAAUAAAUUCCACUUACAUCUGCAGAUCAAAUAAUUAUGCUUGGGAGCUCCUUGGACCUGCGCCCCCAGCCGAGCACUGGGACGCCUCAGGGCUGCCUGCACCCCGCAGCCACCGACCCAGGCAGAGGUCGGAGGGGGGCCACAAGAACAGUCACUCCACCCAGUGACUGCCUUUGCUCCCUGGCGAGCCAGGCACCCCUGCCCCAUUGGAGAACCCAAGGUAUGCUGAAAAUCCACAGCCAUCUCCCUGUUCUUGGGGCAGGACCCUCUUUAGCUUGGUCCUGGGCCUCAAGCAACUUCCCCUUGCGGAAGGAGCCCAGGACUACCUUCCCAGCAGCCGGGACCCACCUGCACUGGAAGCUGCUCAAAUCCCAACCUGCGCUGGAAUUUUCGAGACUUAGUGCAUGCUUGUGCAUCCAGCCUUUGCUUCCUGUCUUCAGCCCCCUGGGUGGUUCUUUCACAGAUGCCUUGUCAGCUAAAUGGAGAGCAGGGAGUGGCCCCCCCAGGCUUUUUUGAGCCCGGGUUUGCCUCGGAGGACAUCCUGACUCUAUGGCUGUCUGUGCGUCUGGCCUUCAGCCUAGGUGCUUGUACAAGCCUGGGCACAUCGCUGGUAGCUGCAUUCCAAGACACCCUUUCUCUCAGGGUCAGCACCCUCUCCCUCUUGUUUCUGUUUGUUUGAGCUUAAUGGGCUUAAUUAUUUCAGCUGCAUCUGGUGAAGCUCGCACAGGGCUUCCAAGGCUGCUCCCUCCAGCCCCAGACCUGUCUGGAACAGAGUCCCAUGUUAUGCCCCAUGGCAGGUGGUUCUAGGUGCACUGAAAGCCGGGAGUGACCUUCUAGCUUUCCGGCCUCAGGAGCCUCUGGAUCACACUCUGGUUCUCACCUCGGGGCCUUCCUAGUCCCAAGUGGCUGGAGCCCACGCAUUCAGCAGCGCGGGCAGCAGAGACCCUCUCGGGGCCCUCUUCUUUCCCCUGCUGGACUUCAGUGGCGGUGUGGCAGAGUGGCUCGCUUAUGCCCAGCCGUGGCUUCCCAGGGAAGGAGGCUCCAGUGCACACACCUAUUUCUGUCCCCAGAGACCCCAGGCAUCUGCCCAGGCAUGCACAGCCAGAGCAGGUGGCCUGCUCCAACCUUCUGGCCGCUGGGUCCUCCCAGGCAGCUUCAGCGCAGUGCUCAGGGCCCAGUUCCAGGGUAGCAGGGCUCUGGGGUCUUGGGGGAAGCUAAGGCCGGGGUUCUACAGGGACAGCCCAGAUGAAGGGAGGUGGCAUUCAUCUUCAUUUUAGGCCCUUAUGGUGUAAACAGGAGAAAUAUGAUCUUGGUAACCAAACAUGAAUGCAAAUCACACCGGCAGAGUAAUAAAGCACCUGAAACCCCAACGCACAAAAGCAACACCAUAUGUAUGUAGACAACCUGCAUAAAUUAUAAAUUACAUCAUCAAAACCGAUUGUCUAUUUGAACAGUUCAGAA